AGGAACCAUUUAGUGGAUGUGAACAGAAAAGCUUCAGUGGAUCAGAGUGAUGGAAUGUCCAUGUUUCCAGCUGCUCUGACCCUCCUCCUCCUUUCAGGUUGAAGCCUGCUGGAGUCCGAUGGGUGACACUGAGACGACGUAAGUAUUUCUGUGAACUCACCCUGGAUCCAAACACAGCGUUCAGGAAACUCAAACUGUCUGAAUACAACGAGAAGGUGGAACAUGUGAAUGAGGUUCAGUCAUAUCCUGAUGAUCAUCAGGACAGAUUUGACCACUAUCCUCAGGUGAUGUGUUCAACUGGUCUGACUGGUCGCUGUUACUGGGAGGUCCAGUGGAGUGGAGAUGUUAAUAUAUCAGUGACUUACAGAGGAAUCAGUAGGAAAGGAGACAGUGAUUACUGUGGGUUUGGAUUAAAUGAUCAGUCCUGGAGUCUGAGCUGUUCUGGAGGUCAUUACACUGUCUGGCAUGAUAAAAAAUACACAGAGCUCCCUCAGUCCUCCUCCUCUUCCUCCUCCUCUGGUACAGUAUCAGUGUAUGUGGACUGUCCUGCUGGAUCUGUGUCCUUCUAUGAAGUCUCCUCUGAUGAACUGAUCCACCUCUACACCUUCAACACCACAUUCACUGAACCACUGUUUGCUGGAUUUAGACUCAGGUCUGGAUCCUCAGUGUGUUUGUGUGAUGUGUAGUUUUGUUGUGUUUGUGGACAUGUGGUUGUGUAGAUUUUAACCCAAAUAUCUGGACUUUCUACUGCUCCCAUUUCAUAAACAGCCUUUAGUUUGAAUGCGUGGGAGGUGAAUUAUCUUUGACUUUUUAAUUGACAUCAUUGUGCGUCUUCACAACAUCCAGAUCUCAACCUAAAUGGAUGAAACAAUCAGACGUGGAAAAAACAACCCCUUGAAGAAUCCAUGAAUGUCACACAACACAAACGCAACAAGAUGAAAACCACAGAAAACACAAUCACUGUAGUGUCUGAUUUUGGGUGCGUCCAACCAGUAGGAGACCUCGGGGUCGACCCAGGACAUACUGGAGGGAUUAUAGCUCUCAGCUGGCCUGGGAACACCUUGGGACUCCCCUGGAAGAGCUGGUGGAAGUGGCUGGGGAGAGGGCUGUGUGGGCUUCUCUGCUGAGGCUGCUGCCCCCGCGACUCGGACCCAGAUAAGAGGAAGAGAGCGAGUACGAGUAUUAAUUAUUGAGUCAUGAUCCACUCAAUGACAGUCAUCUGCAGCAUAGAAUGACUGAACGUCUCUGGCAACACAUUUUGGGCAAUUUGUCAAAACAGAGUUACCAUCGCGCACGUGCAAAUGGGUGGUUGAUCCAGUAGCGACAGGAAGUAGAACCAACCGAUAAAGAUAGUAAAUAGUGAAUGGACUGCACUUAUACAGCACAUUUUCUACACCUUCACGGUGUCCAAAGUGCUUUACAAAGCCUUACAUUCACCUAUUUAUUCACACACUUAAACAACAGUGGGCAGCUGCUGCCAUGCACAGCACUGCUAGGCCCUACACGGAGUAAUUUAGGGUUCAGUGUCUUGCCCAAGGACACUUUGACAUGUGGACAGUCAGAGCCAGGAUUUGAACCGCCAAGCACUGGAGUUUUAAUGUCGACAGGCCUUUUAUGAAAACUUUUUAUUCUUGUUUUAUUGAGUCUGUUUUAACCUUUUCUUUUAUCUGCUGGUUUGGUUUAGUCAACAUCACAAAUCAAAACGGACUCCAGGGUAUUGUAAAGGUGUGUAACAGAAUCACAGGAGUGACCUCGAAAGAUCUUACACACCUGCAAAAAGUCAGAACUCUGAAAAAGGCCUGAUUGGUCCUGAAUGACUCCGCCCACCUUCUAUGAUCGGAGUUCACGCUGCUACAGUCUGGUCGCAGUUAUGCCUUUAUUAUGUAGCAGGACCAACAGGUAAAAGAACUCUUUUAUUCCUGCUGCUGUCAGGCUUCUGAACAGUGGAUAGUAUGUGAUUUGUGUUUUUUGUCAUUUGUUUGUGUCAUUUGUUUUGCUGCGUGUACAAUAAUUUGCCCCUAGGGGAUAAUAAAGUACCUUGAAUCUUGA